AUUGAACGCUGGCGGGAUGCCUUACACAUGCAAGUCGAACGGAGUGGCGAACGGGUGAGUAAUGUCUCGGAACGUGCCCAGUAGCGGGGGAUAACUACGCGAAAGCGUAGCUAAUACCGCAUACUAUUGGAGCGGCCUAUGUCGGAUUCGCUAGUUGGUGGGGUAACGGCUCACCAAGGCGACGAUCCGUAGCUGGUCUGAGAGGACGACCAGCCACACUGGGACGGAGACACGGCCCAGACUCCUACGGGAGGCAGCAGUGGGGAAUGUUGGACAAUGGGCGAAAGCCUGAUCCAGCCAGGCCGCGUGUGCGAUGAAGGCCUUCGGGUUGUAAAGCACUUUUGGCAGGAAGGCGGUACCUACAGAAUAAGCACCGGCUAACUACGUGCCAGCAGCCGCGGUAAUUC
rnacentral:rRNA from 1 species